UAGUAACUGCGAGUGAAGAGGGAAAAGCUCAAAUUUAAAAUCUGGCAGUCUUUGAUUGUCCGAGUUGUAAUUUAGAGAAGUGUUACCCGUGUUGGGCCGUGUAUAAGUCUCCUGGAAUGGAGCGUCAUAGAGGGUGAGAAUCCCGUCUUUGACACGGACUUCCAAUACAUUGUGGUACGCUCUCGAAGAGUCGAGUUGUUUGGGAAUGCAGCUCUAAAUGGGUGGUAAAUUCCAUCUAAAGCUAAAUAUUGGGGAGAGACCGAUAGCGAACAAGUACCGUGAGGGAAAGAUGAAAAGAACUUUGGAAAGAGAGUUAAAUAGUACGUGAAAUUGCUGAAAGGGAAACGCUUGAAGUCAGUCGCGUUAGUUAUGGGAUCAGCCUUCCUUUUGGUUGGUGUACUUCCUUACUGACGGGUCAGCAUCAGUUUUGAUCAGUGGAUAAGGACUUGAGGAAUGUGGCAUCUUCGGGUGUGUUAUAGCCUCUUGUUGUAUACAUUGGUUGGGACUGAGGAACUCAGCACGCCGCAAGCCCGGGUUUUUAACCACGUACGUGCUUAGGAUGCUGGCAUAAUGGCUUUAAUCGACCCGUCUUGAAA
rnacentral:rRNA from 2 species